AUGAUAUACAAAGACGGAACUAAAGGAGCUUAUUUGACAGUGAUUAGAGAUUUUUCACUUUAUAGGUCCAACUUUAGUAGUUGCAGUUUUAUUUUUAAAAGUAGAACAUCGAAUGUUGAUGCGCAUAAUCUAGCCAAACACUCCCUUUUGCUUGAUCAGGUUCAUCACUUGUGGCUCAUUUCUCCGCAUGACCCAGUACGCAUCCCUCUUAAUGCUCAAAUGAAUCAAUCAAGUGUUGGCGCCCCUCAACAACAACAAAAAACAGUCCCUCAACAGAAAGAAGUACGAAACAGAGUACAAGGAGGCACUCACUAA
rnacentral:rRNA from 1 species